rnacentral:rRNA from 1 species
AUGNAANNCGAGCGCUCAGCAAUGGGAGCGGNNGACGGUUGAGUAACACGUGGGAACAUGCCCUUCGGUACGGAACAACUCAGGGAAACUUGAGCUAAUACCGUAUGAUCCGGCAACGGCAAAGAUUUAUCGCCGAGGGAUUGGCCCGCGUCCGAUUAGCUAGUUGGUGAGGUAACGGCCCACCAAGGCUCCGAUCGGUAGCUGGUUUGAGAGAACGACCAGCCACACUGGGACUGAGACACGGCCCAGACUCCUACGGGAGGCAGCAGUGGGGAAUCUUGGACAAUGGGGGAAACCCUGAUCCAGCCAUGCCGCGUGAGUGAUGAAGGCCUUCGGGUUGUAAAACUCUUUCGACGGGGACGAUAAUGACGGUACCCGUAGAAGAAGCUCCGGCUAACUUCGUGCCAGCAGCCGCGGUAAUAC